GCUGGGGGUGGGUGGUGUGCACCUGUAAUCCCAGCUACUCGGGAGGCUUAGGCAGGAGAAUCGCUUGAACCCAGGAGGUGUAGGUUGCAGUGAGCCAAGAUCGUGCCACUGCACUCUAACCUGGGUGACAGAGCAAGACCCUGUCUCAA
rnacentral:SRP_RNA from 1 species